rnacentral:lncRNA from 1 species
GGAGCACAACGUCGAAAGCAGCCGUUGGGAGCCCAGGAGGCGGGGCGCCUGUGGGAGCCGUGGAGGGAACUUUCCCAGUCCCCGAGGCGGAUCCGGUGUUGCAUCCUUGGAGCGAGCUGAGAGCUCGAGGUGAGCUGGGCUCGCGGUCGCCCCUCUCGCGCGCCCUCUUUAAGAACCACGGCGUCCAACCUCCCUGGAAAUGGGGGGAACAUGGCCGAGGCGCGUGGCGAGGCCGCCUCGUGGAGGCCCCGGAGCGGCAUCCUCAGCGCCCCAGCGAUCCGGUGCCCAUUAGAACCUGCUAAGGCCAUCAAACCUAUUGAUCGGAAGUCAGUCCAUCAGAUUUGCUCUGGGCCGGUGGUACCGAGUCUAAGCACUGCGGUGAAGGAGUUAGUAGAAAACAGUCUGGAUGCUGGUGCCACUAAUAUUGAUCUAAAGCUUAAGGACUAUGGAGUGGAUCUCAUUGAAGUUUCAGGCAAUGGAUGUGGGGUAGAAGAAGAAAACUUCGAAGGCUUAACUCUGAAACAUCACACAUCUAAGAUUCAAGAGUUUGCCGACCUACCUCAGGUUGAAACUUUUGGCUUUCGGGGGGAAGCUCUGAGCUCACUUUGUGCACUGAGGUGAUAAAAUAUUUUUAUCCAUUCACUUGACCCCUUAGAAAAACCUCUCUGAAAAUUAAUUGGAAUCAUUAUUAUUUACAGUUUUCUGUCUCAAUAUCUCAGCUUCCAGCUUCUGAAUUCUGUUUUGUCUCACUGCCAAUCUAAGUCCUAGUACUUCUGAAAUGUGAGCAAUAAAUGAAUGAAAUGAAGCAAA